AUGAUUUUUGAUGUUGCAGAUACCAUCGAUGAUGCAGAGCUCCUCAGUCUUGAUGAUAUGGACGACGUUACAGAUGACAAACCUGUGCAGCCUGUACCUGCUGGCUGGAAGAUCCGGACAAUGUUUAGGAGCAUUGAUUGGGACUAUUGGGAAAGUAGUCACAUUCUUCAUGUUGACGAAAUAUCAGCCUCCCCACCUGAACCCUCUGUGCUGCAAUCUCAUCUAUGGAAUGAUACAGACAAGAAAUGGACAUUGGGAAAACUGAAGUGUACAAGCUUCCGGACCUUUGGUUUUUACGGCGGUGAUGUUGUCUAUCUCGUGUCUAAGGCGGAGUCUCGGGAUAAUGAUGCAUUACUUGUUGGUGUUGAUAUUCGAAAAAUGAAGCUGGAAUCCAUCAAAGCAUAUGGCUGUGGGAGAUCCAUUUCUUUUGGUCCCAUUCCGGUUGUUCGUUUUAAAAUUGGAAGGAAGCAGGAAGUCAUCGAACCAUCUUGUGGCGGGAGAUCCACUUCUUUUGAUGUCAUUUCCUGUGCAUUCUCAAAAUAUCUGAAUACCGCUCCAAGUUCAAGGCCGUGUAAUGAGGAAGCUGCAGCUGAGUCUGCUCAGAAUGAUGUGCUGAAUGAUCAUCUUUCAUCGAGGGAUACUGUUCCAAACAGUGUGCAACCCCAGCUAAACAUGUGGAAUGAGAGUGGCCGCAAUGGGGGUUGGAGUGAAUAUGGUUAUAGCGUGCAGCAGCCAUCCAGUUUGACACAAACUGGGCAGCCCAUGCCAUCUUCAACUUCAACUCGAUUAGCGUCGGUCCGACCACUGGGAUAG
rnacentral:rRNA from 1 species